rnacentral:rRNA from 1 species
AUACGGAGGAUGCAAGCGUUAUCCGGAUUUAUUGGGUUUAAAGGGUGCGUAGGCGGUUUGCUAAGCGGGAGGUGAAAUGCCGGCGCUCAACGUCGGAAGUGCCUCCCGAACUGGUGGACUUGAAUGACUCUGCCGUGGGAGGAAUGUGUAGUGUAGCGGUGAAAUGCUUAGAGAUUACACAGAACACCGAUUGCGAAGGCAUCUCACGAAGGGUUGAUUGACGCUGAGGCACGAAAGCGUGAGGAUCAAACAGGAUUAGAUACCCUGGUAGUCCACGCAGUAAACGAUGAUGGCUAACCGCUGGGCUUAUCAGUUCAGUGGCCAAGCGAAAGCGAUAAGCCAUCCACCUGGGGAGUACGACCGCAAGGUUGAAACUCAAAGGAAUUGACGGGG